rnacentral:rRNA from 1 species
UACGUAGGGUGCAAGCGUUGUCCGGAAUUAUUGGGCGUAAAGAGCUCGUAGGCGGUCUGUCGCGUCGGGUGUGAAAAUCCAGGGCUUAACCCUGGACCUGCAUUCGAUACGGGCAGACUAGAGUUCGGUAGGGGAGACUGGAAUUCCUGGUGUAGCGGUGAAAUGCGCAGAUAUCAGGAGGAACACCGGUGGCGAAGGCGGGUCUCUGGGCCGUAACUGACGCUGAGGAGCGAAAGCAUGGGGAGCGAACAGG